UACGUAGGGGGCGAGCGUUGUCCGGAGUUACUGGGCGUAAAGCGCUUGUAGGCGGUCCACCAAGUUUGGGGUGACAGUUGCCGACUUAAUCGGCAAAGUGCCUCAAAGACUGGCGGACUUGAGGGCCACAGAGGGACAUGGAACUCCAGGUGUAGUGGUGGAAUGCGUAGAUAUCGGGAGGAACACCAGUGGCGAAGGCGGCGACCUAGAGCUUUGCUGACGCUGAUGCGCGAAAGCGUGGGGAGCGAUCCGG
rnacentral:rRNA from 1 species